rnacentral:rRNA from 1 species
AUACGGAGGAUCCGAGCGUUAUCCGGAUUUAUUGGGUUUAAAGGGUGCGCAGGCGGCCAUUUAAGUCAGCGGUUAAAUCGUGGGGCUCAACCCCAUUCUGCCGUUGAUACUGGGUGGCUUGAUUGCGGUCGAGGUUGGCGGAAUUCGAUGUGUAGCGGGGGAAUGCAUAGAUAUGACGAAGAACACCGAUUGCGUAGGCAGCUGACCAGACCGCAAAUGACGCUCAUGCACGAAAGUGCGGGGAUCGAACAGGAUUAGAUACCCUGGUAGUCCGCACAGUAAACGAUGAAUACUUGUUUUCGGCGAUAUAAUGUCGGAGGCAAAGCGAAAGCGAUAAGUAUUCCACCUGGGGAGUACGCCGGCAACGGUGAAACUCAAAUGAAUUGGCGGGG